GAUGAAGAACGUAGCGAAAUGCGAUAAGUAAUGUGAAUUGCAGAAUUCAGUGAAUCAUCGAAUCUUUGAACGCACAUUGCGCCCGCCAGUGUUCUGGCGGGCAUGCCUGUUCGAGCGUCAUUACAACCCUCAGGCCCCCGGGCCUGGCGUUGGGGAUCGGCGGAAGCCCCCUGUGGGCACACGCCGUCCCUCAAAUACAGUGGCGGUCCCGCCGCAGCUUCCAUUGCGUAGUAGCUAACACCUCGCAACUGGAGAGCGGCGCGGCCAUGCCGUAAAACACCCAACUUCUGAAUGUUGACCUCGAAUCAGGUAGGAAUACCCGCUGAACUUAAGCAUAUCAAUAAGCGGAGGA
rnacentral:misc_RNA from 1 species